rnacentral:rRNA from 1 species
AACGAACGCUGGCGGCAGGCUUAACACAUGCAAGUCGAGCGCCCCGCAAGGGGAGCGGCAGACGGGUGAGUAACGCGUGGGAAUCUACCUUUUGCUACGGAAUAACUCAGGGAAACUUGUGCUAAUACCGUAUGUGCCCUUCGGGGGAAAGAUUUAUCGGCAAAGGAUGAGCCCGCGUUGGAUUAGGUAGUUGGUGGGGUAAUGGCCUACCAAGCCGACGAUCCAUAGCUGGUCUGAGAGGAUGAUCAGCCACAUUGGGACUGAGACACGGCCCAAACUCCUACGGGAGGCAGCAGUGGGGAAUAUUGGACAAUGGGCGCAAGCUUGAUCCAGCCAUGCCGCGUGAGUGAUGAAGGCCCUAGGGUUGUAAAGCUCUUUCACCGGUGAAGAUAAUGACGGUAACCGGAGAAGAAGCCCCGGCUAACUUCGUGCCAGCCGCCGCAGUAACAC